UAAACAAAGGGAAGCGAAGUGGUGACACGAAGCAAAUCCGAGAAAUAACGUCUCAGUUCGGAUUGUAGUCUGCAACUCGACUACAUGAAGCUGGAAUCGCUAGUAAUCGCGAAUCAGAAUGUCGCGGUGAAUACGUUCCCGGGUCUUGUACACACCGCCCGUCACACCAUGGGAGUCGGAAAUGCCCGAAGUCAGUGACCCAACCGAGAGGAGGGAGCUGCCGAAGGUGGAGCCGGUAACUGGGGUGAAGUCGUAACAAGGUACC
rnacentral:rRNA from 1 species